UAUUGUUGAAAUAUAUUCUUCAUUUUUUUAUUCAAGUUCAACAUUUAUUUAGUUAAGUUCAUUCAUGUCUUUUGGGAUUAUUCAUGUACUUGGAAAAUAUAUGAAUUAUUUUCAAGAUUUGUUUUCCUAUAAUAACUAGUACAUGUAUUUGAUUAAAUUCAUGAUUUGUGAAACCUAUGAAAUAUCAGUGAAUGUACUCAUUUUCCAUAAGUUAUUUAGGAGUGUCAACAUAUAAAGUUGAGCAUUCACUUGAAUAUUGUCUUAUCUUCUAUAAGUUGCUCCAUAAGUCAUUUUGGGGAGUUAAGAAAUAAAGAGAAUAUUAUUUUUCAUCUUCCAAAAGUUUUCCAUCUCCAAGUUUCCAACAAAAGUGGCAUUAGAGCCAUUUAUAAGAUUGUGGAAAUAAGAGAUCACAAACAAUAAUUAUCUUUCCGUUCAUCAACUCAUUGAUGAUAACUAUAGUAAGUGAUGUAUCCGUAUGAUAGCAUAUGUUGGAACUCAAAAUUUGCGGACUUGGUAGAGAGAGGUUUUGAAACUUAAAAUGAAGAAGGCGGAUCUUAAACACGAAUAGAUUUGCAACAAGCAACUAAGAUGAAGAAUCAAAAGGCUCUCAACACGAUUCAUCAAGAUCUUAAUGAUACAAUUUUUCAAAAGGUGUAAAAAAUGCUACCAUUCAAAGCAAGCAUAUGGGAUUUUUCAAAUUAUAUACAAAUGUGCGAAAAAAAUUAAAAAGGUUCGUCUUCAAUCAUUGGCACGAGAACAUGAAGCUCUAUCUGCAAAAGUAUCUGUACGAAUUUCAAAUUACUCUUCACGACAAUUGGUGAUUAUCAAUGAGAUGAAAAGGCAUCGUAAAGAAGUAAGUGAUUUUAGUAAUCAGCAAAAAAAAUUGAUUAUUACAUAAAAAAUUUAAUUUUCAUUGCAGUGGCAGUAGAAGAAUCAAAAGAUUUGGAAGAAAUGAUUAUCGAUGAAACUGUGAGUACACUACAAACUUACAAAGAAAAGGUGUUGAAAAAAGGAAAGAACGUGUAAGAAGAACAAUAUGAACCAAAGAGGUAGAAAACAUGGAAGAGGACAUAGAAUUGGAGAAAGAAAUUCUCAACAUCAAUCCAAUAUUCAUAUAAUUCAAGAGGGUGAGGAAGACAAUCUCAAAAAAGAGGAAGAAAAGAAUAAUGGUUGAAGAUAUGAUAAAUCUCAAAUUGAAUGAUAUAAUGUUCACAAGCUCAGUCAUUUUGUAUGUUAGUGCAGAAGUAACAAUGUGGGGGAGCAAUCCACCUACGAUUAAAAUAAAGAUACGAAAAUGAAUUUUACUCUUGAAAAUACAAGGUAAAAGGAGGCAAUAAUUCUUGGUACUUAUACACCUAAGCAAGUAAUCAUAUGUGUGGAGAUCAAUCUAUCUUCAUGGAACUUGAAGAACUAACUCACCACGUCACAUUUGGUAAUGAUUCAAAGGUGCAAGUCAAAGGUAAAAUUCUCAUCCAAAUGAAGAAUGAAGAACAAUACAUAUUCAGUGUUUACUAUAUU
rnacentral:lncRNA from 1 species